GACUCGGUGGUGAAACGCAUCGCAUCUGCUCAACGUACAUGGGGGUGCGAUUGACGCUAAGCUCUGCAGAAGUCGCCCGUUCGACUCGGGCCCGAGUCA